UACGUAGGGUGCAAGCGUUGUCCGGAAUUAUUGGGCGUAAAGAGCUCGUAGGCGGUUUGUCACGUCUGCUGUGAAAACCGGAGGCUCAACCUCCGGCCUGCAGUGGGUACGGGCAAACUAGAGUGCGGUAGGGGAGAUUGGAAUUCCUGGUGUAGCGGUGGAAUGCGCAGAUAUCAGGAGGAACACCAAUAGCGAAGGCAGCUCGCUGGGACGUUACUGACACUAAGGCGCGAAAGCGUGGGGAGCGAACAGG
rnacentral:rRNA from 1 species